rnacentral:SRP_RNA from 1 species
ACUGGGUGUGGUGGUGCACACCUCUAGUCCCAGCUACUUGGAAGGUUGAGGCGGCAGGAUCACUUGAGCCCAGGAGAUCGAGGCUGCAGUGAGCUGUGAUUGUGCCACUGCAGUCCAGCCUGGGCAACAGAGUGAGACUGUCUCAAA